rnacentral:lncRNA from 1 species
UAUCAGUCGAUGGAACAGGGUCAGGAACAAACCCAAGCACUUUAACCUGUUGACUCUUCCCGAUGAUGCCGAGACACACAAAGGGGAAAAGAAAUCCUCAGCAAAGCAUUCUGGGAAAACCGGAUAUCCACGAGCAAAAGGAUGAGAAUCAACCUCCACCAUCACAAGUAUCAGCUCAAGUGAACUGAACUCAUUGAUGUGAGGUCUGAAGUUAGAAACCCUAGAAAACACAGCGGGGAAACUUAGUACCAGGAACCUUAGGAACGGUUUCUUGGACACGAUCUCAAAGCACAGAAGCUAAAACACCAAACUCACAAACUUCUGUGCAGCAAAAGAGAAACAACCUACGAUACCAGAGAAGCUUUUUUUGUGAACACCUCUCAGCUCAGUGGUUUGUGUAAAGCAUGUAAUAAACUCAAGCUCUAACAGCGAAAAUAAUAGCAGUGACAUGUGUUACGCUGGGGAAGACGAGCCCAAAUACAAGCCCCACAGUGACUGCAUCAGGUAUAAGCCAGAUGCCGGGUAGCUUUUACAGCACAUGCCAGUUAGCUCAUAGAGAACUUGGCAAGGAAGAUGCCGCCUGGAAUUAGAAACCUGUGUCCAAAUGAGGGAGACAUCCCCCGUCUGGGGCAGCAGCGAGUAUGAGAUGGAAAUUAGGCCCAUUUGGCUUCCGGCCACUUCUUCAGCAACAAGUAGGAGGCACCUGGCACAGGUC